UACGGAGGGGAGCUAGCGUUUGUUCGGAAUUACUGGGCGUAAAGCGUGCGCAGGCGGUUUUGUAAGUCAGAUGUGAAAUCCCCGGGCUUAACCUGGGAACUGCGUUUGAAACUACAAGGCUAGAGUGUGGCAGAGGGGGUGGAAUUCCACGUGUAGCAGUGAAAUGCGUAGAUAUGCGGAGGAACACCGAUGGCGAAGGCAAUCCCCUGGGCCUGUACUGACGCUCAUGCACGAAAGCGUGGGGAGCAAACAGG
rnacentral:rRNA from 1 species